rnacentral:sRNA from 1 species
GGUGGUCAAAACCUUCUUUUUCCAUCAAAAGAAGAUCUUUGGUUUGACUUCAUAUUCUGGGAUGUUUGUAGGUACCUGGAAUGGAAACACAAAAGUAGCCAUAAAGACUCUUAAACCAGGCACAAUGUCCCCCGAAUCAUUCCUUGAGGAAGCGCAGAUCAUGAAGAAGCUGAAGCACGACAAGCUGGUCCAGCUCUACGCAGUGGUGUCUGAGGAGCCCAUCUACAUCGUCACCGAGUAUAUGAACAAAGGAAGUUUACUGGAUUUCUUAAAAGAUGGAGAAGGAAGAGCUCUGAAAUUACCAAAUCUUGUGGACAUGGCAGCACAGGUGGCUGCAGGAAUGGCUUACAUCGAGCGCAUGAAUUAUAUCCAUAGAGAUCUGCGAUCAGCAAACAUUCUAGUGGGGAAUGGACUCAUAUGCAAGAUUGCUGACUUUGGAUUGGCCCGAUUGAUCGAAGACAAUGAGUACACAGCAAGACAAGGUGCAAAGUUCCCCAUCAAGUGGACGGCCCCCGAGGCAGCCCUGUACGGGAGGUUCACAAUCAAGUCUGACGUGUGGUCUUUUGGAAUCUUACUCACAGAGCUGGUCACCAAAGGAAGAGUGCCAUACCCAGGCAUGAACAACCGGGAGGUGCUGGAGCAGGUGGAGCGAGGCUACAGGAUGCCCUGCCCGCAGGACUGCCCCAUCUCUCUGCAUGAGCUCAUGAUCCACUGCUGGAAAAAGGACCCUGAAGAACGCCCCACUUUUGAGUACUUGCAGAGCUUCCUGGAAGACUACUUUACCGCGACAGAGCCCCAGUAC